CUAGCUUCUCGGCCUUUUGGCUAAGAUCAAGUGCUGUAUCUGUUCUUAUCAGUUUAAUAUCUGAUCCUUCCCCAACCCGGAGACCAUAUAUUAAAUUGAUUUUUGGAACAGGGAGAUGGAAUAGGGCAGUGGUGCGCAACCCUGUUCCUGGAGAGCUACGCUCCUGCUGGUUUUCACUCCAACCCUG